AAAGUUCUUAAAGUCUUAAACUUGUGUUUUCUGUUACUGCCUCUGUCAGUUAUUUCAGAGCAUUUCUUGUGUUUUUCUGCUCCCAAAUGUACCACUACUGUUGACCAACUAGGGGUCUCGACGGAAGCCGUGAAAGCCAAGUGUGGUCCAGGGCCAAUGGAGAAACAGUUGCAGUUAGCAAGACUGGCUGGUGUUGCGCGGUAUUUGGAGACCCAUCAUAUUGUGUGAGCUGCAGUACUAAAGUGAUGCUUAGCUCACGCGCUGCUGCCGCCGCCUGCUUCUCCACUGUCGGCCUCACACAGGGGAAACCCGCGGACACCGCGGUGCAGUGUGGGAAACAAAGACAUAAUAACGACACGGAGAAUGUGGAGGCCUACAAGGUACCAACGACCUGCAUCACAAUUUCUCUCAAGCAAAUGUGCUUUGGUCAACUUUCAGCACCCGAGCCACUGAUUCCAGACCGCUAAUUCUCCCACCGUGAAGCUAGGUGAGCACAGAGCUAAAGCUAACAUCAAACUGCUUGCAAUGUCAAGCCUGAGCCAGGCAAGGAAAGCAGAAUUAGCUUUAAACCCUGCUUAAUAAAAAAAAAAAAAAGUGAGGGGAGCCGAUAUAGUACUUUGCCAAAUAUUAAAGUCUAAAAUAUGCAUCUAGAAAUUGCAUCUUAACAAAGGAAGAGUGACUUGUUGGCAGAGUUCUGCCUGUUCUGACCCAUAUCACUCCGCCUCAUUACAUCUUCUCUUCCCCAUUGGACCUCUAUAUAGCCCCCUUAAAUCAUAGUGAAUAUGUCAUUAACUUCUCAUCUAAUCACAGAUCCCUCCACGCUGAGGGCAAAUGGACAGUGUUCUGCACCUUCAUCCUGGAGUAACACUCUUCAUCACUGAGCCUGUCAACAAAGCCCACAGAAAACAGAAAAAGGAAAUAAUGUAAAACUUUAUUUUAUGCCAACAUUUGUACAGAUAAGCUUUUUUCUGCCACUGUCACAGAUUUGAUUUCAUCCUCACUGACAGCCUGGUGGACCUGUUAACUUCUCAUUCAUUGUUGUCAUAUAUCUGAGUACAUCCAACUUAUUGCUUUCCACUCACAGACCAAACCUAAGAGAAAAGAACAUAAUAUUAAGAAAGAAUAAAAAACAUAAUCAUAAUCACCAUAAAGUAUCUUGGGGCAUACAGGAUGGUGGCUUCAAGUGUCAAACAUGUUUUGUCUCUGAUCAGGUAAAGAAUGUUGCACACCAUUUUACAUUUGUUUUAACACAUUUUGAAAUAUUGUCCAAAAACAUGGCAGAUAGGUGUAAACAUUACUACAGUGGUCAAAAUUAGGUAGUUAACAAAAAAAAACCCAAAUAAAAAGCAACAUUAAAUAUCUAUUGAGAAACAUUUCUAUUAUCACUAGUCACCUCUUUUACUCAAAAUACAUGAUUCAAAAAAAAAAAAAAUAUUUACAUGGUAUU